AAAAGGUGUUUUGAAUGGAAGGGGUUCUUUUAGAACCAAUGAUUGAAUCCAAACCAUAAGGUCGUUAGUAGGGUACUACGACGUAAUGGGGCGAUAGCUCAAGCCAUGGAAUCAAGGUCUCAUCAAAGUAUUCGAACACAAUAAAGAGACAUCAUCAAAUGUUUUGGAAACAUUUGAUAAGUGAAUCCCUUUUGAAUAAUAAAAGGGAUUAAUACAUAACCAAGUUAACCUACGAGCAU
rnacentral:lncRNA from 1 species